UUAUUAUUUUGUUGUUUCCAGUACGGAAAAAAGGUUACACAAGUCUACAGUCUGAAGGAGCUAAAUGUAUGUGUACUAUAUAGUAUUUAAAUAUGUAUCAUGCACUUAAAACAUUACUAUAUGUGAUUUUUUUUUCUUUCUUUUUUUAAAUCAUUACCCGAAAAAGAUCCGGGUACCCGGUUCCAGAUUUUCUACCCGUGCCGACUUCUAGUUCAAAUAUGUAUAUAACAAAAGACAGACAGGCACUCCCUUAUAUCCCCAGAUAAUGAUACUCUGAGGUUUGCAUUGUGGAGGUAAAAUAAUCUUGCAACAACCACCCACCAAGCAGGAACAUCAAGCUGUUACAGGGUCAUUCUGUGCAGUCUACAGGUAACCAGAGUCAGAUAUGUAGAUAGCCAAGAACCUUGGAGUAACCCUGGACCCCCUGCCUCUCCUACUCCAAGCACAUCUCCACUGCCGAUUCUUCCUGAGCAACAUACAAAGAAUCCGACCCUUCCUCACCAUCCACUCCACGCAACUCCUCAUCCAGGCCCUGCAGUCCGAAGAGGGACUCCUCCAGUCGGCAGGCCCGAGCAAUCUUUGCAGCCUUCUCAGAGGCGUGGACCAAAGCAGCGAUCACGUCCGACAUCCUGUCCUCAAGGCCUGUACUCCUGGAAGAACAAAAAGACAAC